GAAGGAAUGUUUGUGGCAGCAUCACAUUCCACAAAAGGAGCAAAUCCGCAUAUUUCCUUCAAUGAAAGACAGAUGACGAGCAAUGAAGCGAUCAACUCGAACAGGCAAGUUUUCAUGUUUGAAAAGGCCAUGUUUUAUAUUUUUGAACUCUGCUUCAGCAGUGGCUGAGCUUGCUGUGAUGCUGGUGCUUUGGAAGAGAGGGACCAUUAUUCCUGUCCAGAGCGGUCAGUCUGGAUCUCAUCACAUGGAUCCACUGUUUUCAUUUCCUCUCUCUCUUCUCCUGGAGUGAUGAUGGAGUCUUCUGCAAUUUGGGCUUUUAGAUAUUUCUUGCACCUUUCUGAUGCGAGAGGGACUCCAGAACUGUUGUCACCCUCUGCCUCACUGAGGGCAACAACAGUGAUAGCACGUAAGAUGUGUUUUGCGUGGUCCAAGGAUUGCGACUGAAGAAGCUGUGCUAAUGACCUGACAAAGAAAUCUUUGACACGAUGUGCUUUGUUUUUCAGGCAAUCCCACUGGCAGAUAAUCUUGAUGUAGUGUGCAACAUCAACCCUGACAAAACAAGGGGGAAAUUUUGCAGACUGGUUCCCACCAUUUGCACCACUGGGACACUGGAGCAGUUGUGUGCUGUCAGAACACCUUGAUAAAGGAAGAUAUGGCCAGAUGUACCAUUUGAUCUCACCAGUUUUCUCACUACUGAGCCAGUUGCAUCAAAACACACUGCUGGGUGAGUUGUCUUAGACAACG